UUGCACGCUGGCGGCAUGCUUUACACCUGCAAGUCGAACGGCAGCGCGGGCUUCGGCCUGGCGGCGAGUGGCGAACGGGUGAGUAAUGCAUCGGAACGUGCCCAGUAGUGGGGGAUAGCCCGGCGAAAGCCGGAUUAAUACCGCAUACGACCUGAGGGUGAAAGCGGGGGACCGAAAGGCCUCGCGCUAUUGGAGCGGCCGAUGUCGGAUUAGCUAGUUGGUGGGGUAAAGGCUUACCAAGGCGACGAUCCGUAGCUGGUCUGAGAGGACGACCAGCCACACUGGGACUGAGACAUGGCCCAGACUCCGACGGGAGGCAGCAGUGGGGAAUUUUGGACAAUGGGGGCAACCCUGAUCCAGCCAUGCCGCGUGCGGGAAGAAGGCCUUCGGGUUGUAAACCGCUUUUGUUCGGGAAGAAAUCCUCUGGGCUAAUACCCCGGGGGGAUGACGGUACCGGAAGAAUAAGCACCGGCUAACUACGUG
rnacentral:rRNA from 1 species